UACAGAGGUCCCAAGCGUUGUUCGGAUUCACUGGGCGUAAAGGGUGCGUAGGCGGUCGGAUAAGUCUGAUGUGAAAUCUUCGAGCUCAACUCGGAAACUGCAUCGGAAACUAUUCGGCUGGAGGAUUGGAGGGGAGACUGGAAUUCUCGGUGUAGCAGUGAAAUGCGUAGAUAUCGAGAGGAACACCGAUUGCGAAGGCAGCUCGCUGGAACGUUACUGACGCUGAGACGCGAAAGCGUGGGGAGCAAACAGG
rnacentral:rRNA from 1 species